CAGCCGCCGCGGGAAUACGAAGGGUGCAAGCGUUACUCGGAAUUACUGGGCGUAAAGCGUGCGUAGGUGGUGGUUUAAGUCCGUUGUGAAAGCCCUGGGCUCAACCUGGGAAUUGCAGUGGAUACUGGGUCACUAGAGUGUGGUAGAGGAUAGUGGAAUUUCCGGUGUAGCAGUGAAAUGCGUAGAGAUCGGAAGGAACAUCUGUGGCGAAGGCGACUAUCUGGGCCAACACUGACACUGAGGCACGAAAGCGUGGGGAGCAAACAGGAUUAGAUACCCAGUAGUCCCUGUCUCUUAUACC
rnacentral:rRNA from 1 species